rnacentral:lncRNA from 1 species
AGUUCACGUAACAUUCAAUCAAUUAUACCAUUGCUCUAUCUCUAAAGUUUUCUUUUUCUCCUUUUCUCAGUGUCUUACCAAGAAUGAAAGGCAACCUAUGUAAAAACUAUGGGCUUUCUAGUAUAAAUAAAAACUACUCAUCUCCAGAAAAUAAACAAUGACUGCUAAGAUGAUUGAAAAAAGAAAGGAGAAGAAAGUAGCUUGUAAAAGCGUGUGAAAUGCAUUCACGUUGGAAUCUCCUACAGGCACUUCAGGUCAAAGACUACCGAUGUCCAGAUCAUAAUGCGAGGACAGUUUGAGCCCAGUGCUCUCUGACUGAGGUAGAACCCCCGGGAAGGUGAAGAGGGCAGCCGUCUGCGAAACAGCCCAGCAUUUAAGAAUGGGCAGCACCUGGCCAGGUGCAUUUGAGAACUAGGAAUGUGGCAACAAUAACAUUUAUUUAUUUGGAUGAAGAGAAGAAGAUGUAUUGGAUUCCCU